GAUGAAGAACGUAGCAAAUGCGAUAAGUAAUGUGAAUUGCAGAAUUCAGUGAAUCAUCGAAUCUUUGAACGCACAUUGCGCCCCCUGGCAUUCCGGGGGGCAUGCCUGUUCGAGCGUCAUUACAACCCUCAAGCUCUGCUUGGUAUUGGGCUCUGCCGGUCCCGGCAGGCCUUAAAAUCAGUGGCGGCGCCACUCGGCUUCAAGCGUAGUAAUUCUUCUCGCUUCGGAGACCCGGGUGCGUGCUAGCCAGCAACCCCCAACUUUCUCAGGUUGACCUCGGAUCAGGUAGGGAUACCCGCUGAACUUAAGCAUAUCAAUAAGCGGAGGA
rnacentral:misc_RNA from 1 species